GUUGGAACAAACAUGGAAUUCCUUAACUGAGCAGAGUCCACAAAACCCCAUCCAAUUGUCUUGGCGAUUUAAAAAUGACAGCAGAUCUCUCAGGCAUUGAUCAUAAUCAAUGGACAGGUCACCGUAGCCACCAGAUCCAAUCGGUAUCCAGAUCAGAGGGUCACUGCAGUCACCCGGAUCCAGUACGUAUCCAGACCAGAUGGAGAUCAUCAUCUAGAAAGGACCUCUACUGCCCUGAAAGACAGCGGAGACCAGGACAACUAGAGCCCAGAUACAGAUCCCCUGUAAAGACCUUGUCUCAGAGGAGCACCAGGACAAGACCACAGGAAACAGAUGAUUCUUCUGCAUAAUCUGACUUUGCUGCAGCCUGGAAUUGAACUACUGGUUUCGUCCGGUCAGAGGAGAACUGACCCCCAACUGAGCCUGGUUUCUCCCAAGGUUUUUUCUCCAUUCUGUCACCGAUGGAGUUUUGGUUCCUUGUUUUUCUUUAGUUGGGGACAAUUAAUAUCAAGCGAUAUCAUUCACUUGAUUGCACAGAGGGACGAUACAUCACUGAAUCAAUGACGAAUUGACUUUAACUGAAAACUGAGUGUUUACUUUUGUCCCUUUGCAUUAUUACACACUAUUUUCCUAUUUAAUACUGUAAAGCUGCUAUGAUGCAGUAUUUGAUCAAUAUGACAGGCUUAUUACUCAUAAUACAUGGAAAAUACAGCUACAAACUGACUUUGUUUUUCCAUUUGAAAUUUGGCAGUCACUGUGCAUUCAUGAAAACUGAAACCGUAAUUUUUGUUCAGUGUUUUUGAAACAGUGUUUUUGUUCAAGAUUUGCAAUUGUGUUUGGAUUGUCACAAUUUGUCACAUGUGCAAAACGCAAUUGAAAAUAUAAUUAGCAAUUCCUUUUGAAAAUUGUCCUUCCAUAGACAGGCUCUACAACGGAGUACACUGCUCUCAGGUGUAGAUCUUUGCUUCAGAGCUUAAGUGUUUGACAAUAGUUCACCCAAAAAUGAAAAUUGUCACUAAUUAUUCACCCUGGUCUGAAAGCUCUCGAAUAUCAACGAAAACAUCUUAACUUGUGUUCUGAAGAUGAACGAAGGGCUUACGGGUUUGUAACGACAUGAAGUUGAGUAAUAAAUGACAGAAUUUUCAUUUUUGGGUAAACUAUAUGUUGAACUACCCUAAGCAGUGCACAUCUACCUACGUAGGAGUCUUUAUAUACUUGAUAUAAAUUUAAGGACAUCUUUAAAUGAUUUUACAUUUAAAUAUAAAGAAUGUUAAUUGUCAAUGUCAUUUCACUGUGUAUUUAAAUAGCUAAAAAUCUCAAAAUGUAAUAGUUAAACAGCUAGACACAGGUCAUUCAGAAAUAAUUUUCUUAUUUAUUGCAACUGUAUUUCUGUGAUUUUUAUUUAUUUAUUUUGCAUUUGCUGGAAACAAAAAAAGGGAAAAUUCCAUGUUGUUUGUCAUUGGUAAAUAUUUUUGAAUGUCAGAUGGCAUUAAAAAUAUUUUUUAACAGUCUAAAUAACCUGUAUUCUUCAUUAUUUAUUAGUCCAUGAUUGCUUUGUUAAGCAAAAGUGAAAUUAUGAGAAUAACCCAGCAAGAAUAACCCAGAAUCAUAAAAAUGCAAACCCACAAAUGGUAAAAAUGACUCUAUCUUGGGUUUUCUCAAUAACCCAGCAUGCUGGGUUAAAAUGUGUAAACCAGCAUGCUGGGUUACUUUAACCCAGCAUGUGUUCUGUCCAAUAUUUACCCAGUGCUGGGUUGCCAAUUGGGUUAUUUUUAACCCAGCCAUUUUUAGAGUGUAUAAAGAAACCAAUGAAGUGUACCAGUUAGUGAUGUAAAAGUAAAAAAAAAAAAAAAACAAAAAAAAAAAAAAACAAUUGGAAUGAGCUUGAUUGCACCACAGUUUUAUUAAUUUUCUUAUGCAUUUAAUAUUUUAUGAAACAUGCAAAAACCUUUUCAGUAAAAAUAUGUAAAUUAAUUUUGGUGUUGUUUACUAUAAAUGCAAAUUCCAUUUUGACACUAACUGACUUGUAGGAAAUGUAUCAGCACUGCAAUACAAAACACACCCUUUAAAUAAUAAUAGUCAUAAUAAAUUAAUAUUAAUAGAAAACUUAUACAACAAUGUUACAAAAAAAGCAUGUAUUUUAGUUGCAGAAAAAGAAAAUGUCCAUAUAGGCUACAUAGGAAUUUAACACUGUGUAUUACUGUUACAAUAAAAGUAACAUCUAAAGAAAUACACAGUAAAAAUAGACAACAACAGCAAUAAUAAUUAUUAUUAUAAUUUAACCAAUAUAGCCGACCUUGAGAAUUAGAGAAACAUUUUCAAGUAGGCUAUUCUAUACAUUCUAUUAUAACAUAUUAUGAUAUUAGGUUCAUUGUUUUCCCAUUUUUGGUCGUGUAUAUGGUAUAAUUAACAAAUGAAAAAUUCUUUUGUUCCAUAGCCUACAUAUAGCAAGAAAUAUAUCCACGCCAGGAUUUCAAGGUCAAGUAUUUUUUAUUUAUGUAUUUGUUCAUUAUGGAACGUAUCUUUUUGGAAAUAAUUUAUUUAUUUAUUUUUUUAGUUUUUUUUUUUUUUGAACGCUUCUUUCAAACAAACUGUUCAAAAGAACGAGUCGCGAAAAAUAGUUUCAAAAGAGCUUCCCAUCUCUGGCUGCUUCUAUCAGGUGUUACGCUGUUAUGUCACUGUAUCCCAUAAAUAUCGACUGCGCGCGUUCUGAAUUGAAUGACAACUGUUUCCUCCAAUCACAGCUCAGGACACAGCGAAAGGGCGUUUCCGUUUCCCCUCGCGGCCUGUUCUGUCAGUCACCGCCUGCUGCGCAGUUCUAGCCGAAGCCGAACGGGACGCGUCCUCUCCCCGGUGCGCAGGCGGGAGAGGCCUGAGUUGAACACGU
rnacentral:lncRNA from 1 species